rnacentral:sRNA from 12 species
AACGAGCCGAGGGGCAAUGUGGAAACGUCAGGACUGCGCAGUCCGGCAACAUCAGCAGAGAGCCCGCUAUACGUGACGGAUUGGCUGAAGCGUACAGAAAUAUUGAGCCUCCUGCAAGAGGCAGCCAAGCAAUAGCAAA